CAGUUUCUUUUUCUUUUUAGAUGAAUCUGUGGCUGACUCGUAGAAGGCACAAUUGGGAUCCACUAGAUCGAAAAAGAUCCCGGUCCGGGGGAAGGGAGGAAUCGAUGCAUGCAGCAAAUAGGAUCUCUGCAAAAAAAAAAAAAAAAUUUGGGUCGAUGGAAUUCUGCAGCUCAGCAUUCCAGCUGCAAGCAGCACGGAUGUCUCUGCGUGACAGGGCGCGUGAACCUGCAAGGAUCCGCCAAUGGUUAAGAUGCACUGUGGAGCUAUUAGAGACGAUGGAUCCACUUUAGAGAAAAGCUUCUAAAGUGGAAAUGAAUCUUGAAGGACCCUGAAGAUUGUCUCUCCUUGCGUCAUCAAAAAUGGAAAAGCUGGUCCUGCAGGAUGGAGAAUGAUCCGAAAAUAACUUGCCAGGAACAACUCAAAUAUUGGCAGGCUGAAAUGGUAAUCGUGGAGAUGUGUUGAAAAGAAGACACUAGCUUGUCCACAUGUUUUCGAAUCAAGAAGAAUUUUUGUGUUUUUUUGGUGGAAUAAUGAAAAGCUGAAAUGGAUCCUGGCAAUAUCUUUCUGCCUUUAAAUUCCUGGAGUAUCUGAAAUUUAAGACUGGCUGGAGGAAGAAAAACCCCUGCAGAGAUGUGUGUUUUGGGGUUCUCUUUUUUUAAAAAAAUAACAAAACCCAACCUUACAUAACUAAAAAGAGUUUGCUGGUACUUAGAAACUGGAAGUUGGAAAAAAAACUUUGUUUUUCAAUUCGUGGAAAGGUGGCAGCUUGGUACAUGUCAGAAAUCAUGUAUCGGCAAUCAGUUCUGUAUAUGGUAAAUUUCUUUUACAUGUGUACAAAAUUGCUACUAUUAAUAAAUGCACUGGUUUGAAAAAAA